CGGACGGGUGAGUAACGCGUGAGAAUCUGCCUUCAGGAUGGGGACAACAGUUGGAAACGACUGCUAAUACCCAAUAUGCCAAUGAGGUGAAAAGAGAUUUCGCCUGAAGAGGAGCUCGCGUCCGAUUAGCUGGUUGGUGGGGUAAGAGCCUACCAAGGCGGCGAUCGGUAGCUGGUCUGAGAGGAUGAGCAGCCACACUGGGACUGAGACACGGCCCAGACUCCUACGGGAGGCAGCAGUGGGGAAUUUUCCGCAAUGGGCGCAAGCCUGACGGAGCAAUACCGCGUGAGGGAGGAAGGCUUUUGGGUUGUAAACCUCUUUUCUCAAGGAAGAAGCCAGUGACGGUACUUGAGGAAUCAGCAUCGGCUAACUCCGUGCCAGCAGCCGCGGUAAUACGGAGGAUGCAAGCGUUAUCCGGAAUCAUUGGGCGUAAAGCGUCCGCAGGUGGCGUAUCAAGUCUGCUGUCAAAGACUAGAGCUCAACUCUGGAAAGGCAGUGGAAACUGGUAGGCUAGAGUACGGUAGGGGUUGAGGGAAUUCCCAGUGUAGCGGUGAAAUGCGUAGAUAUUGGGAAGAACACCAGUGGCGAAGGCGCUCAACUGGGCCGUAACUGACACUCAGGGACGAAAGCUAGGGUAGCGAAAGGGAUUAGAUACCCCUGUAGUC
rnacentral:rRNA from 1 species